rnacentral:tRNA from 1 species
GACGCCUGUCAGUUGGCAUAAGUUACGGUGAAAUGCGAAUAGGCUGACUACGCUCGUAGAAGCUUAAGUAUUGAAGUUUCUGGACGUGGGUUCGACUCCCACCGUCUCCACCA